CUCCCCAGGGCCGCCCUCUUUACCCUCAGGACGGGUCACCCCAGGCGGGUCCCCAACCGCCUCAGGGCCGUGUUUGUUCAGGGGGGGCCGGGGAGCCGCCGCCGUUGGCAGGGCUGACAUUUGCCAUGCGCAAACAACAUGCACUUUAGCAAACAAUUCAACCUUUCCGCAUCCCCGAAGCCUGCUGGAAACUUGCUGAGUUAUUUUUCUCCUCUCCUCUUUCUUAGCUUGUUUAUAACUGACGCUAUCUCGCCUGCACCGCUCCCUCAAUUUCAUUAUCUCUUCCUACCAGAUGGCCCGUAUCUCUCCCUCCUUCACAGGGUUUCUCCUUGCGCUUGCUUCAGCUUUUUCCCACCCUCUUCCCAGCUCUCCACUUCUUACCCCUGCUCACAGGUGAUGUUAACAUCCAAACCCUCGAUCCCCCCAUCUUCUCCUCAUCCUGACCCUCUUAGCCCCUGCUCUGGUGCUUGUCUGGUUUCUUCCUGCUGCAGCUCCUGCUUCCUUCAAUCCCAUUUGCUGUUUUCCGGAUGCAAGAUUGUGGAUCAUACCUCCCUUCAGAAUACAGCUGUUGGGCAGUGGCUGGUAUGUGUACAACACUUUCAUUUACUGGUUCGAAGGACAGUGAAAUGGGUCUGAAGGAGACAUCUGACUUGUUAAUACUCUUCCUUAGUAAGCUUCAGAUUGUGAUGCCGAGACUGUUCAGAAUCCUUGCUCCCCCAAGGAAGCUCCCACUACAUUUGUUACUUGUAGACUCCCAUCCUGCUCCUCCUCUUGAUCUUUUGGGUGAAAGAGUCCCUCUACACUAACCAGCCCAGUCAUUUUCUGUCAUUACCAAGUUCUGUGGAAACAUACAGUGUGUAUGCAGGAGAGAGAACACUCCUGUUAGCUCUGCACAGGCUGGGAAAGACCUAGUGCUGCCUCCUGAAGUUUUAAUUGAGUGUUAUACUCUGGACAUUUUUCUUUCACUUUGCUUUUAUCAUGAAGAUUUUUCUCCACUGAAUUCAAGAAGCAGGUUAAAUAUAUGUAAGCAGUAAUCAAGAAAUGCCUGUGAUGCUUGUAUUUAUUUCAAGUAUGAAUAAAAUUUGUCUUAGAGGGCAAGAA